rnacentral:rRNA from 1 species
AUUGAACGCUGGCGGCAUGCUUUACACAUGCAAGUCGAACGGUAACAGGUUAAGCUGACGAGUGGCGAACGGGUGAGUAAUGCAUCGGAACGUGCCCGGUCGUGGGGGAUAACGCAGCGAAAGCUGCGCUAAUACCGCAUACGAUCUGAGGAUGAAAGCGGGGGACCGUAAGGCCUCGCGCGAUCGGAGCGGCCGAUGUCAGAUUAGGUAGUUGGUGGGGUAAAGGCUCACCAAGCCAACGAUCUGUAGCUGGUCUGAGAGGACGACCAGCCAGACUGAGACUGAGACACGGGCCAGAUUCCUACGGGAGGCACCAGUGGGGAAUUUUGGACAAUGGGCGAAAGCCUGAUCCAGCAAUGCCGCGUGCAGGAAGAAUGCCUUCGGGUUGUAAGCUGCUUUUGUACGGAGCGAAAAGGUCUCCUCUAAUACAGGGGGCUCAUGACGGUACCGUAAGAAUAAGCACCGGCUAACUACGUGCCAGCAGCCGCCGUAA